GAUGAACGCUGGCGGCGUGCCUAAUACAUGCAAGUCGAGCGAACGGACGAGAAGCUUGCUUCUCUGAUGUUAGCGGCGGACGGGUGAGUAACACGUGGAUAACCUACCUAUAAGACUGGGAUAACUUCGGGAAACCGGAGCUAAUACCGGAUGAUAUUUUGAACCGCAUGGUUCAAAAGUGAAAGACGGUCUUGCUGUCACUUAUAGAUGGAUCCGCGCUGCAUUAGCUAGUUGGUAAGGUAACGGCUUACCAAGGCAACGAUGCAUAGCCGACCUGAGAGGGUGGUCGGCCAGCUUGGAACUGAGAAUGGGCCCAGACUCCUACGGGAGGCAGCAGUAGAGACUCUUACGCGAGGGAGGAGAGCCUGACGGAGCAACGCCGCGGGAGUGAUGAAGGUCUUCGGAUCGUAGAACUCUGUUAUUAGGGAAGAACAUAUGUGUAAGUACCUGUGCACAUCUUGACGGUACCUGAUCAGAAAGCCACGGCUAACUACGUG
rnacentral:rRNA from 1 species